ACGGGUGAGUAACACGUAUCCAACCUGCCGUCUACUCUUGGCCAGCCUUCUGAAGGAAGAUUAAUCCAGGAUGGCAUCAUGAGUUCACAUGUCCGCAUGAUUAAAGGUAUUUUCCGGUAGACGAUGGGGAUGCGUUCCAUUAGAUAGUAGGCGGGGUAACGGCCCACCUAGCCAACGAUGGAUAGGGGUUCUGAGAGGAAGGUCCCCCACAUUGGAACUGAGACACGGUCCAA
rnacentral:rRNA from 1 species